AUGUGUUGCUACCUGGGUGCUGUCAUGGGAAGCCACCCAAAAAUCAUCUGUGACUCAGAAACAGGACCCUUUAAUGACUGGUGGGCAGAAUUCUACAGCUUUUCCUUCGUCCAGAUACAGUACAGGCGUACCUCAUCUAUGACAGCCAGAGCUAAGUUGCACUGGGAUGUCAAGGAGAUAGUUAGCACACAUCCUUGGAUAUUCAGCAAAGUUCAAAAGGCUGUUUAUUUUAAAGUGUGCCAAGAUAAGAGUGGCAAACACGCUUGGUUAACUUCCAUGCGUUCCUUCCUUGUUGCUUGUUGUUAUCUUAGAUGUUGCAAAACCAAUGCCUUAUUUUCUCCUUAUGCAGAUUUUCCAAGAGAUACAGAUCGGACGCAGAUUGAGCCCAGCAUGUAUCUUACGUCGCUUCUUUCAGGGGGAGAAGCCAAGCCCCAUUUACGCUCCCUUCCCGCGCCUGUCAAGGUACCAUCUGCUGAUAUAGACGACGAGAUUCAGAGCUUCAGUUCUUUCCAUGGGAGUUCGGGCUCAUCUGGAGCAGAUACGCUGUGAGUCCUGCCUCCACGUCCCAGCCCACAAAACCGUAGGCGGCAAGAGAAAGAGUGGGAACAGCUGGAAAUAAUGUAGCUAUCGGCAACAUUUGGACAUCAAAUCCUCGUCCUAAAGUUUUUAAUAUACCACUGUGUGUUUGUGUGUGUGUGACUUGCAUGUGAAUAUGUACGUUUAUUUUUAAAAUAAAAUAUUUCCAUUUUGAAAAUGUGUUUAAUCU
rnacentral:lncRNA from 1 species